rnacentral:rRNA from 1 species
AUUGAACGCUGGCGGCAGGCUUAACACAUGCAAGUCGAGCGGGGGAAGGUAGCUUGCUACCGGACCUAGCGGCGGACGGGUGAGUAAUGCUUAGGAAUCUGCCUAUUAGUGGGGGACAACACCUCGAAAGGGAUGCUAAUACCGCAUACGUCCUACGGGAGAAAGCAGGGGAUCUUCGGACCUUGCGCUAAUAGAUGAGCCUAAGUCGGAUUAGCUAGUUGGUGGGGUAAAGGCCUACCAAGGCGACGAUCUGUAGCGGGUCGGAGAGGAUGAUCCGCCACACGGGGACUGAGACACGGCCCGGACUCCUACGGGAGGAAGCAGUGGGGAAUAUUGGACAAUGGGGGGAACCCUGAUCCAGCCAUGCAGGGUGUGUGAAGAAGGCCUUAUGGUUGUAAAGCACUUUAAGCGAGGAGGAGGCUACUCUAGUUAAUACCUAGGGGUAGUGGACGUUACUCGCAGAAUAAGCACCGGCUAACUCUGUGCCAGCCGCCGCCGUAA